GAGGAGAACAUGGCGGCCGCGGAGAGCGGCUGAAAUGCCUGUUCUUCAGGCCGGGCGAGCGGGAGUCUGACGCGAUUUGCUGAGCUCUGUCCUCCGACGGCUGCCUCGCGGCCUUGAGGGCCUCCGCCGCCUGUUCGCUGCUGCUCCCUCGAGCGGAGCCUGCGUCAGGUUCCCUCUGCAUCCCCCUGCGGGGGGACCCCUGCUCCGGAGGAGGGGGCCGGAGAGCCGCGG
rnacentral:lncRNA from 1 species